rnacentral:lncRNA from 1 species
GUACAGGUAAAGCAAUACUUUGAUGUGAGCGUGAUGAUUGUUCUAUUUGGAGUUUCUUCUUCUUCUACUUCUUCUUCUUCUUCGAUCUAGGAUGGGUUCGAGGCCGACAUCUUGGGAUAGCAAGGAUGGACAUAGUUCUUUUAUCAUUUGUUUUCGUCCGUAGCCAGAGCCUGCUCUUCUACAUGAUGACUGUAUGUUGUUGUAUUGAUGUGAUCUUGAUGUUGCUUGUGGCGAGUGUAAGCCAAUUCCAUAUACUCAUCUCUUUAGUACAUGUACUUGUAACGAUAUCCAUUCUUGCAAAAUGACGGGAUGUGCUUCUAUCCCCGUCGAGGCCCUCGAGCCAAAAUAAUGAUAGGAUCGCAUCUUGGGCGUUACAUUAUCACUAGACUUAAAAAGGGAAACACUUAUGGGAUCAAAUUAAAAUGUUGCGUUGUUAUGCUUGGAAUUUAUGCUUGAGAUGUGAUUAUACUUGUUG